rnacentral:lncRNA from 1 species
UAUAAUUUUUUCCCAUUGGGUUUUGUUUUAGUUAAGGUUUUAACGAGGCACAUUAUUGAAUAGACAUUCAAGGGGAAGUGUUAUAAAAUAUUCUAUUUAAGGUGAAUGUUCAUAUUUAGAGAGAUCCUAGGGUCUACUACUUGGUGGCUAAGUCACCACCUCCCUAUAAAUAAAGGGGUUCUCUCCCAUUGUAAAUCAU